CCUACGGGUGGCAGCAGUGAGGAAUAUUGGUCAAUGGACGCGAGUCUGAACCAGCCAAGUAGCGUGAAGGAUGACUGCCCUAUGGGUUGUAAACUUCUUUUAUAAAGGAAUAAAACGAGGCACGUGUGCCUUUUUGCAUGUACUUUAUGAAUAAAGAUCGGCUAACUCCGUGCCAGCAGCCGCGGUAAUACGGAGGAUCCGAGCGUUAUCCGGAUUUAUUGGGUUUAAAGGGAGCGUAGAUGGGUUGUUAAGUCAGUUGUGAAAGUUUGCGGCUCAACCGUAAAAUUGCAAUUGAUACUGGCAGUCUUGAGUAUAGUUGAGGGAGGCGGAAUUCGUGGUGUAGCGGUGAAAUGCUUAGAUAUCACGAAGAACUCCGAUUGCGAAGGCAGCUUACUAAACUGCGACUGACAUUGAUGCUCGAAAGUGUGGGGAUCAAACAGGAUUAGAUACCCGGGUAGUC
rnacentral:rRNA from 1 species